UACGUAGGGGGCGAGCGUUGUCCGGAUUUAUUGGGCGUAAAGAGCUCGUAGGCGGCUUGGCAAGUCGGGUGUGAAACCUCCAGGCUCAACCUGGAGACGCCACUCGAUACUGCCAUGGCUAGAGUCCGGUAGGGGACCACGGAAUUCCUGGUGUAGCGGUGAAAUGCGCAGAUAUCAGGAGGAACACCGGUGGCGAAGGCGGUGGUCUGGGCCGGCACUGGACGCUGAGGAGCGAAAGCGUGGGUAGCAAACAGG
rnacentral:rRNA from 1 species